CUCAACUCUGACUGACCUUAAGUAGAGCUCUGUGUAGGCACAAAAGUUUGUCUCUCUCACUAAAACAAGUUGAUCCAAUAAAAGAUAUUACUUCACCCACCUUGUCUCUCUAAU